UGGGGAAUAUUGCACAAUGGGGAAGACCCUGAUGCAGCGACGCCGCGUGAGCGAAGAAGUAUUUCGGUAUGUAAAGCUCUAUCAGCAGGGAAGAAAAUGACGGUACCUGACUAAGAAGCCCCGGCUAACUACGUGCCAGCAGCCGCGGUAAUACGUAGGGGGCAAGCGUUAUCCGGAUUUACUGGGUGUAAAGGGAGCGUAGACGGACUGGCAAGUCUGAUGUGAAAACCCGGGGACUCAACCCCAGGGCAGCUGCAUUUGGAAAACUGUCAGUCUAGAGUGUCGGAGGGGUAAGUGGAAUUCCUAGUGUAGCGGUGAAAUGCGUAGAUAUUAGGAGGAACACCAGUGGCGAAGGCGGCUUACUGGACGAUAACUGACGUUGAGGCUCGAAAGCGUGGGGAGCAAACAGGAUUAGAUACC
rnacentral:rRNA from 1 species